UACGGAGGGUGCGAGCGUUGUCCGGAAUCACUGGGCGUAAAGGGCGCGUAGGCGGCGCGGGCAGUCAACGGUGAAAGCUUGGGGCUCAACCCCGAGUCGGCCGUCGAUACUCCCGUGCUUGAGCACUGUAGAGGCAGGUGGAGUUCCGGGUGUAGCGGUGGAAUGCGUAGAGAUCCGGAAGAACACCGGUGGCGAAGGCGGCCUGCUGGGCAGUAGCUGACGCUGAGGCGCGACAGCGUGGGGAGCAAACAGG
rnacentral:rRNA from 1 species